CCAGACUCCUACGGGAGGCAGCAGUGGGGGAUAUUGCACAAUGGGGGAAACCCUGAUGCAGCGACGCCGCGUGAGUGAAGAAGUAUUUCGGUAUGUAAAGCUCUAUCAGUAGGGAAGAAAAUGACAGUACCUGACCAAGAAGCCCCGGCUAACUACGUGCCAGCAGCCGCGGUAAUACGUAGGGGGCAAGCGUUAUCCGGAUUUACUGGGUGUAAAGGGAGCGUAGACGGUUAUGUAAGUCUGGAGUGAAAGCCCGGGGCCCAACCCCGGGACUGCUUUGGAAACUGUGUAACUGGAGUGCAGGAGGGGCAGGCGGAAUUCCUGGUGUAGCGGUGAAAUGCGUAGAUACCAGGAGGAACACCGGCGGCGAAGGCGGCCUGCUGGACUGAAACUGACGUUGAGGCUCGAAAGCGUGGGGAGCAAACAGGAUUAGAUACCCCCGUA
rnacentral:rRNA from 1 species